rnacentral:rRNA from 1 species
CUAAAGAAUAUUCCGCAAUGGAGGAAACUCUGACGGAGCGACGCCGCGUGGAUGAUGAAGGUCGGAAGAUUGUAAAAUCCUUUUAUGACUGAGGAAUAAGCCGGGUGAGAGAAACGCCUGGUGGUGACUGUAGGUCAUGAAUAAGCAACGGCUAAUUACGUGCCAGCAGCCGCGGUAACACGUAAGUUGCGAGCGUUGUUUCGGAAUUAUUGGGCGUAAAGGGCAUGUAGGCGGUAUUGCAAGCCUGGUGUGAAAGGCAGGGGCUCAACCUCGGACGUGCGUUCAAGACUGCGGGGCUUGAAUACGGAGAGGGUCGUGG